rnacentral:rRNA from 1 species
GACGAACGCUGGCGGCGUGCCUAAUACAUGCAAGUCGAACGGUCUUUUCUAUGGAAGCUUGCUUCCGCUGAGAAGAUAGUGGCGAACGGGUGAGUAACACGUGGGUAACCUGCCCAUAAGAGGGGGAUAACAUCCGGAAACGGGUGCUAAUACCGCAUAGUUUUCUUGAUCGCAUGAUCGAGAAAGGAAAGACGGCCUUUGUGCUGUCACUUAUGGAUGGACCUGCGGCGUAUUAGUUAGUUGGUGAGGUAACGGCUCACCAAGACGAUGAUACGUAGCCGACCUGAGAGGGUGAUCGGCCACAUUGGGACUGAGACACGGCCCAAACUCCUACGGGAGGCAGCAGUAGGGAAUCUUCCGCAAUGGACGAAAGUCUGACGGAGCAACGCCGCGUGAGUGAAGAAGGUUUUCGGAUCGUAAAACUCUGUUGUCAGAGAAGAACAAGUCGGAGAGUAACUGCUCCGGCCUUGACGGUAUCUGACCAGAAAGCCACGGCUAACUACGUGCCAGCCGCCGCGGUAAAAC